CCAUUUACAUUUAGGGAUUUAAAAUAUAGUCUCUUGAUGCAAACAGUAAAUAAAUACAUUUUCCCAAGGCUCUGGUAAUAAAAUUAGGCAAUGGGGAUCAUUUCUAGCACUAAGUGUAGUGCGUGUUUUUCUUGGCUCUUUAACUAGAAACCUGCAUUUUAUUUUAAGGUCUCACAUGAAAUAGAAGCACAUGUGGUACAUGAAAUUUCUCUUGGAUGAUAUAUUAAAAGACGUAUUAAAUUGAUAGCAUCUCUUGAAGUCAAAUAAUAAAGGAGGGGGCGUUGCCAGAGGAGGCAGAUAUUUGGUCAGUGGACUGAGAGAGGAAGAUCUACACUCAAUGUGGGUGAGCACCAUCCAGUUGGCUGCCAUUGCAGCUACAACAAAGCAGGUGGAAAAAUAUCUUAUGGUGAGAACCACAGUCACUCAAUUGGAAAACUUAAAUGCGAUGGGAAUAAUUGGACCCUGAGGUGGCAGGGGCCAAGUGGCAGCACUCAACCGUCAAAGGCAAGGUAGGCAUAGUUGCAGUAAUAGACAACAGAGACAAAGCAGCAAUCAGAAUACUCUUACUCUUGUAGAGCUCUAGCAUUGGCUAAUUAAUCAUGGUGUUCCUGGAAGUGAAAUUGAUAGGAAGCCUACUAUAUUCUUACUUGAUUGGUAUGAGCAGAAAACUUCCAGGCCAAGUGAACAAAAGAUUGAUUUGAAUGAUAAAAAACAAAGAAUCACAGCCCCUCAAUCAAUUUUCAGACUUGAAUAAAUUUACAGAUCCAGAACCCCUUGAAAAAAAGGAAGGCUGAGUCACCUUGAGAAAGGACCCCACUACACUACUGAAAAUUUAUACUGUUAAUUUUUCUCUUAUCUUUACCCAGGGAGACCCCUGGGCUUUCAUCAGAGUAACUGUUCAAUGGGAAAAGAAAAAUGAUCAGACCUUUUGGGGAUUACUGGACACUGGCUCUGAGCUGACAUUGAUUCAGAGGAUCCAAAAUGUCAUUGUGGCCCUCCAGUUAGAGUAGAAGCUUGUGGAGGUCAAGUAAUUAAUGAAGUUGUAGCUCAGGCCCAACUUACAGUGGGUCCAGUGGGUCCCCAAACUUAUCCUGUGUUCAUUUCCUCAGUGCCAGAAUGCAUAAUUGAAAUAGACAUACUUAGCAGUUGACAGAAUCUCCACAUUUGUUCCCUGACCUGGGGGUUGAGGGCUAUUAUGGUGAAAAAGGGCAAAUGUGAGCUAUUAGAGCUAUCACUAUGUAGAAAAAUAGUAAAUCAAAAACAAUAUUACAUCCCUGGAGAGAUUGCAGGGAUUCUUGCACCAUCAAGGACCUGAAAGAUGCAGGGGUGGUGAUUCCCACCACAUUCCUGUGUAACUCUCAUAUAUGGCCUGUGCAGAAGAAUAAUGGACCUUAAAGAAAGACAGUGGAUUAUUAUAAGCUUAACCAAGUGGUGACUUCAAUUGCAGCUGCUGUACCAGAUGUGGUUUUAUUGUUCGAGCAAAUUAACACAUCUCCUGGUUCCUGGUAUGCAACUACUAAUUUAGCAAAUGCCUUUUUCUUCACCACUGUCGAUAAGGCCCACAAGAAGCAACUUGCCUUUAACUGGCAAGACCAGCAAUAUACUUCACUGUCCUACCUCAGGGCUAUGUCAACUUUCUGGCUCUGUGUCAUACAGUUGUUUACUGAAAUCCUGCUCACUUGUCUCUUCCACAAGAUAUCACACUGGUUUAUUACAUUGUUGAAAUUAUGCUGAUUGAAACCAGGGAGCGAGAAGUAGCAACUACUUUGGACUUACCAUUGAGAUAUUUGCAUGCCAGAAGAUGGAAAAUGAAUCUGAUAAAAAUUCAGGGACAUUCUACGACACUGAAAUUGCUAUGGGUACAAUGGAGAGGGGGCCUGUCGAGAUAUUCCUCUAAGGUGAAGAAUAAGUUGUUCCAUUUGGCUUAUUCUACAACCAAGAAAGGCACAAUGCCUAGUGGGCCUGUUUGGAUUUUGGAGGCAACACAUUCUUCAUUUGGGUGUGUUACUUCAACUCAUUUAUUGAGUGAACCAAAAGGCUGCUAAAUUUGAGUGAGGCCCGGAAGAGGGGAAGGCUCUGCAACAGGUCCAGGCUGCUGUGCAAGCUGCUCUGCCACUUGCACCAUAUGGCUCAGCAGAUCCAAUGGUGCCUGAGGUGUCAGUUGCUUAUAGAGAUGCUGUCUGGAGCCUUUGUCAGGCCCCCAUAGGUGAAUCCCAGUGGAAGCCUCUAGGAUUUUGGAGCAAGGCCCUGUCAUCUUUUGCAGAUAACUACUCUCCUUUGGAGAGACAUCUCUUGACCUGUUACUAGGCCUUGGUAGAAACAGAAUGUUUGACUAUGGGUCACCAAUUUAUUAUGUAACCUGAACUGCCUAUCAUAAACUGGGUGCUUUCUGACCCAUCUAGCCAUAAAGUUGGAUGUGCACAGCAGCAUUUAAUCAUCGAAUGGACAUGGCAUAUACACAAUCAGGCUUGGGCAGGUCCUGAAGGCACAAGUAAGUUAAUGAGACAGUGGCCCAAAUGCCCAUGGUCCCUACUCCUGCCACCCUGCCUUCUCUCUCCAGUCCUGCACUAAUGACCUCAUAUAGUUCACCAUGAAAAGUUGACAGAGAAAGGAAGACUAGGUCCUGGUUUAUAGAUUGUUCUGCAUGAUAUGCCAGCACCACCUGAAACUGGACAGCUGCAGCACUACAGUCCCUUUCUAGGGCAUCCCUGAAAGACAGCGGUGAAGAAAAAUCUUCCCAGUGGGCAGAACUUCAAGAAGUCAACCUUUUUUUUGCACUUUUCUUAGAAGGAGAAAUUGCCAGACAUGCAAUUAUAUACUCAUUCAUGGGCUGUAGCCAAUGGUUUGGCUGGUUGGUCAGGGACUUUGAAAGACCAUAAUUGGAAAACUGGUUAAAAAGGAGAUUUGAGGAAGAGGUACGUGGAUAGACCUCCUUGAGUGGUCAAAAACUGUGAAUAUAUUUGUGUCCCAUGUGAAUGCUUACCAAAGUGUGACCUCAGCAGAGGAGAAUUUUAAUAAUCAAGUAGAUAGGAUGAUCCAUUUUGCAGACACCACUCUGCCUCUUUCCUCAGCCAAACCUGUCAUUGUCCAAUGGGCUCAUAAACAAAGUGACCAUGGUGGCACAAAUGAAGUUUACACAUGGGCUUAGCAAUAUGGUCUUUCAUUUUCCAAGGCUGACCUAGCUAUGGCCACUGCAGAGUGCCCCAUCUGACAGCAGCAGAGGCCAACACUGAGCCCUCGAUAUUGCACUAUUCCUUGGGGUGAUUAGCCAGCUACCUGGUGGCAGGUUGAUUACAUUGAUUACAUUGGAUGUCUUCCGUUGUGGAAAGUGCAGCAGUUUGUUUUUACUGGAAUACACACUUACUCUGGAUAUGGGUUUGCCUAUCCUGCAUGCAAUGCUUCUGCCAAGACCACCAUCCAUAACUCGUAGGUUGCCUUAUCUGCUGUCAAGGCAUUCCACACAGCAUUGUCUCUGAUCAAGAAACUCACUUCACAGCUAAAGAGGUGUGACAGUUGUGGGCUUGUGCUCAUGGCAUUCAGUAGUCUUAAUAUGUUUCCCAUUAUUCUAAAGAAGCUGGCUUGAUAGAAUGGUAAAGUGGACUUUUGAAGUAACUAUUUCAAUGCCAAUCAGGUGAAAAUACUUUUCAGGGCUGGGAGAAAGUUCUCCAGAAGGUUGUGUAUAUCCUUGAUUAGCAUUCAAUAUAUGGCACUGUUCCUUCCAUAGCAAGGAUGUGUGGUUCCAGAAAUCAAGGAGUAAAACUGGAGGUGGUACCACUCACUGUCACCCCUAGUAACCCACUAGAAAAAUUUUUGCUGCCUGUUUCCAUGACAUUAUGUUCUGCUGGCCUAGAAGUGUUAUUUCUAGAGAGAGAAAUGCUGCCACGAGGAGACACAACAAUGAUUCCAUUAAACUGGAAGUAAGACUGCCACCUAGCCACUUUGGGCUUCUUCUGGCUCCAAGUCAACAGGCUAAGAAGGAAGGUACAGUGUUUUCUAGGAUGAUUGACCCAGACUAUCAAGAUAAAAUCCGAUGCCACAACACAAUUAAAGUAAGGAAGAGUAUGUCUGUAACACAGGAGAUCCCUUAGGGCAUCCGUUUGGUAUCACUAUGCCCUGUGAUUAAAGUCAAUGAGAUACUACAACAACUCAAUGCAAUCAUGACUGCAAAUAGCCCAGAGCCUUUAGGGAUGAAGGUUUGGGUCACUCUAUCAGGUGAAAAACAAAGAUUAGCUGAGGUGAUUUCUGAAGGCAAAGGAAAUACAGAAUGGGUAGCAGAAGAAGGUAGUUACCAAUAUCAGCUACAACCAUGUGACCAGUUGCAGAAAUGAGGACUGUAAUAGUCAUGAGUAUUUACAACUUUUUUUGUUAAGACUAUGUUUGUGCAUGUGUUCAACUGUAUUAAGAAAAUAUCUUUUGCUGACGAGGCUGUGGAGAAAUAGGAAAGCUUUUACACUGUUGGUAGGAAUGUAAAUUAGUUCAACCAUUGUGGAAGACAGUAUGGAGAUUCCUCAAAGAUCUAGAACCAGAAAUACCAUUUGAGCCAACACUUCCAUUACUGCAUAUAUACCCAAAGGAAUAUAAAUCCUUAUACUAUAAAGACAAAUGUACAGAUAUGUUUAUUGCAGCACUAUUUACAAUAGCAAAGACAUGGAACCAACCCAAAUGACCAUCAAUGAUAGACUGGAUAUAAAGAAAAUGUGGUACAUAUACACUGUGGAAUACUAUGCAGCCAUAAAAAAGAAUGAGAUCAUUCUCCUUUGCAGGGACAUGGAUGAAGCUGGAAGCCAUCAUCCUCAGCAAACUAGCACAGGAACAGAAAACCAAAUACCACAUGUUCUCACUCAUAAGUAGGAGCUGAACAAUGAGAACACAUGGACACAGGGAAUGGGACAACAUAUACCAGGGCCUGCUGGAGGGUGUGAGUCAAGGGGAGGGAACUUAGAGGAUGGGACAACAGGUGCAGCAAACCACCAUGGCACAUGUAUACCUAUGUAACAAAGCUGCACAUUCUGCACAUGUAUCCCAUUUUUUAAAAGAAGAAAUAAAGAAAAACAAGACAAAUAAAAUAUCUUUAUAUUAUUUUCUUUUUUAUCCUUAUGUAACAUUAGAUUUAUCACUUCAUAGCAGCAUUUAAUUAUUUUUAACUUCAAUAGCAUUUAGGUUAAGGAUUAGUGCACUUUUAUUUGUAUAAAGGAUAGUUGUAUUAUGUUAGGUGUAAUUAUGACUUUAUUAUUACCUAUAUUUGGAGAUUAAGUAUAAUUUCAGGAGAUGCAUAUAGAUGCCAAGUGGAUUUGUGAUGGUUAAUAUUAGGUGUCAACUUGAUUGAAUUGAAGGAUGCCUAGAUGGUUGGUAAAGUAUUGUUUUUGGGUGUGUUUUUGAAGGUGUAGCCAGAGGAGAUAGACAUUUGAGUCGGUGGACUGGAAGAGGAAGACCCACCCUCAAUGUGGGUGAGCACCAUCUAAUCAGCUGCCAAUGUAGCUAGAACAAAGCAGGUGACAAAAGGUGGGGUGACUUUGCUUCCUAAAUCUUCUGGCUUCUUUUUUUAUUUAUUUAUUUUUUUCUCGAUUCUGUAUGUUUUCUUGUGUUACUCCUGCCCUUGGACAUCAGUCUCCAGGUUCUUCGGCCUUCGGACUCUUGGACUUGUACCAGUGGCUUGCUGGAGGCUGUUGGGCAUUCGGCCACAGACUGAAGGCUAAACUGUCAGCUUCCCUGGUUUUGAGGCUUUCGGACUCAUAUUGAGCCACUACCAGUUUCUCUCUUUCCCAGCUUGCAGACGACCUAUUGUAAAAUUUUCCCUUGUAAUCAUGUGAACUAAUUUUACCUAAUAAAUUCCCUUCUAUAUGUA